GAUCCUGGCUCAGGAUGAACGCUAGCUACAGGCUUAACACAUGCAAGUCGAGGGGAAACGACAUCGAAAGCUUGCUUUUGAUGGGCGUCGACCGGCGCACGGGUGAGUAACGCGUAUCCAACCUGCCCAUCACUUGGGGAAUAACCUUGCGAAAGUAAGACUAAUGCCCAAUGAUAUCCCACGAAGGCAUCCGAAUGGGAUUAAAGGUUUAUCGGUGAUGGAUGGGGAUGCGUCUGAUUAG
rnacentral:rRNA from 1 species